GGGUGCUUGUACUGCCUUCCAAAGUGAAGAGGAGAUGAACAUGGCUUUGCAUAGCUGUUGCUCUACGCCAACUUACCUACUCUUGCUGGUUCCGUAGUGGUAUAUUGCAAAUUUCGUGGACGAACAAUUCGAGUCACUAGUGGCUAGUGAGCACCACUAACAGACCAGAAUGCUUCGCCAUCAACUCCUGGCUUUCCAUCGGCAUGGUGUUCAGCUGCAGCGGCAUCUGGUCCGGGGAGUACGUUGCUGGAUGGCUGCACUGACACAGGAUGGGUUUGCGUUGGCAAUGCAAUACGGCAGUCAUCCCACAUUAUGAGCUACACGUUUAUGUAAUUUAUAUUGUCGCUCGUCCAGCAACGUCAAGGCUCUGCAUGUAAACACAGGAGAACACCAUAAUAAUUUUACUACUCAGGGGAUAAUAAUUAUAAUUUUGGAUUAUCAAUUUCUUGACAUUUAUGAGUUCCUGUCUAAACCAUGUCGUGAUAUUGAUUGCUAUCUGCUCACAAAGUACCUCGUAUUGUAACAAUACUCUGCUUAAUCACUACCCUCUGCCAAUUAUUAGAUUCGCACAAUAUUCAGAACAUAUGCAACACAAUGCUGUCUAUUGACACUACUUCGAACUGAAAUGCUCACUACUCGUCUCCCGUUUUCAACUCCCUCUACCUUAUGAAUACUCUACUUUACUGGUUUCGUUUCUACCCUUUCCAUUGCUGCCAGCCCCCAGUCUUUUUCAGUGGACAGCACCAUAUUGAAAUUUUUGUGAUUUGAUGUACACAUACUUUGAAAUUGAAAUUCGAAUUACAUGAUCAGAUUUUUGUU